GAGAGAUCUGUGGAACCAAAGUGGGUGCGGGUACCAGAGCGCGGUGCAAAAUUAGUUCUAUGGUAAGAGGAAAAUGUGAAGACUCCAUCUCUUUAGACUCCGCCGUGUGGCCGACUGAAGUCUACUCCUGGGUCCCUUCACGUGGAAGGAUGCUUCUUCUACAGCUGCUCUGGGCCCCAUUUCUGAAUUUCACCUCUUUCAACAGAUGUUGUUGACUCAUGGCCUGUGUCACUUUUGAGGUUAGCCGACACCUCCCCCUUAGAGUGUCUCUCACUUUAAGUCAUGCCUGCAACUCCAGCAAUGAAGAGAUGGACACAGGAAGAUCAAAUCAAAAUCCUUCUUGACUACACAAUGAGCUUGAAGUCAACCUGGACUACAAGAGACAAUGUUCAAAAAAAAAUUGAGGGAGUGGAGAGAGCCCUGAGUUACUGAAGUCCUGAGCGAAUGUUUGUUGACAGGAGUCGACCACGUUAAAGACACCAGAACCUCAGACCCAAGGAGAAAUGGCAGAACCUUUCGCCGGGACAAAGUUUAGAAACAUGGCAAAUCCUUCCUCAGAGGCCCCAAUGUUACUGUUGACGGUGUUUGGAGAAAAUGUCCACCAUAGCUCUCCUGCGUGUUUAAGGCCUGAACACUACACCCCUACAGAGGUUACUCUGCUCAAUGAAGAUUUGCUAAACCUGUCUCCUCGAUCCAGCUGUCUCCUUGUUAAUAAUUUGCAGAUCGUAACCCCACCUCUUUGGCAAGCUGUGUGCAAUAACCUGCCUUUCUGUUCAAAUCUAUAUAAUAAACAGCCUGCGCUC